CGGCGGUUCCCAGGGCGACACGCAGGCGCAGUGUCUGGCCGGGAGGCUGCGCUCCCGCUCAUUGUGCAGCCUGCGAUGUGGCAGGCUGGAGCUCGCGGCGGCGACGCGGUGGCGACACCGCGCCCGGUGGCCCAUGUCGAGAGUUGGGAGGACGGAGUGGAUGGAACGGAGAAGGCCGGGGCCAAGGCCGAGCUGGUCCCGCUCGGGGCGCGUGCUGGGUCCGGUCGCGCCGGACUUCCCGGGAGGAGUGAGGAUGCUGUGAGCAUCGGGGAUGUCGUGGUGGUCUUCACGCCCGACGAGUGGACGCAGCUGAGCCCGGCCCAGCAGGCCCUGUACCAGGAGGUCAUGCUGGAGACCUACAGCCACCUGGUGGCGCUGGGACUCGUGGGGCCCAGACCGGAGCUGCACAGUGGGGCCGUGGGCAGCAGCUUCCGCCCUGAUUGGCUGACAGUGCUCAAGAGUCAAAAGUCAACUCUUCAGGCAGCUCUUCCCGGAGAAUUAGAUCCGCGGCGGCGGGAGCCCACCCGCCUGGUCGGGCGGGGAAGCAGAGACCCACAGGGACCGCGGCCACUCAGUCCUGUGACCCGGCCGGCCGCGUGGGCCGGGGGCGGCGGCGGGCAGGGCCAGGCUGGGCCGGGGAGGGUCUGCUCGCCCACUCUGGGGCCCUCGGCUGUCCCGAGCCCGGAGCCCCCGCCCGGCGGGGCCGCCCUGGCCUGUGGCGAGUGCGGGAAAUGCUUCUCCCGCAGCUCGUCCCUGCAGCGGCACCGGCGGGUGCACGGCAGCGGGCCGCCUGCGCCUUCGCCGACCCGGGAGAAGCGGUACGCGUGCCGGGAGUGCGGGAAGGCCUUCCGCCAGAGCACGCACCUCAUCCACCACCAGCGCGUGCACACGGGCGAGCGGCCCUACGCGUGCACCGAGUGCGGCAAGGCCUUCUCGGUCAGCUCCUCGCUCGCCUACCACCAGAAGAUCCACACGGGCGAGAAGCCCUUCGCGUGCCAGCUGUGCGGGAAGGCCUUCAUCCGCAGCAUCCACCUGGCCCACCACCUGCGGCUGCACACGGGCGAGAAGCCCUUCCGCUGCGACACCUGCGACAAGGCCUUCGUGUGCCGCGCGCACCUCACCAAGCACCAGAACACGCACAGCGGCGACAGGCCCUACAAGUGCGGCGCGUGCGGCCGCGCCUUCGGCCAGAGCACCAGCUUCCUGCAGCACCAGCGCAUCCACACGGGCGAGAAGCCGUUCGAGUGCCCCGAGUGCGGCAAGGCCUUCCGCGUGAACGCGUCGCUCACCGAGCACCAGCGCAUCCACACGGGCGAGAAGCCCUACCGCUGCACCGAGUGCGGCAAGGCCUUCCGCGACAACUCCUCCUUCGCCCGCCACCGCAAGAUCCACACGGGCGAGCGGCCCUACCGCUGCGGGCUGUGCCACAAGGCCUUCCGGGACCAGUCGGCGCUGGGCCAGCACCAGCGCACCCACACGGGCGAGAAGCCCUACACCUGCCCCAGCUGCGGCAAGGCCUUCAGCGACCACUCGGCGCUCACGCAGCACAAGCGCAUCCACACGCGCGAGAAGCCCUACGCGUGCAAGGUGUGCGGGAAGGCCUUCCUGCGCUCCACGCACCUCACGCAGCACCAGCGCAUCCACACGGGCGAGAAGCCCUACCAGUGCUCCCGCUGCGGGAAGGCCUUCAACCAGACGGCCAACCUCAUCCAGCACCAGCGCCACCACGGGGCAGACAAGUGACGGCGGCCGGCUGGGGACCCCGGCGGGAGGCAGACUCGGGGGGUGACCACGGGACGCGUCCUUCUGCGGGGCGAGAGGCGAGCUCGGCUGGACUGGGAUUCAGGAUUCACGUGGCCGCAUCUAACCCCUCCCUCCCCCGGCGCUCGUUCAGAAUCAGCCGCCCUCUUUUCUUUUUUUUUUUUUUUUGCUUUUUGGGUCACGCCCGGCGAUGCACAGGGGUCACUCCUGGCUCAUGCACUCAGAAAUCACCCCUGGCGGUGCUCAGGGGACCAUAUGGGAUGCUGGGAUUCGAACCCGGGUCGGCCGCGUGCAAGGCAAACGCCCUACCUGCUGUGCUAUCGCUCCAGCCCCCAGCCGCCCUCUUUUCAUUUCUCUGACUCAUGCGGGGAGUGGAGCUACAGUGGCGCUCUCUGAACCCCGACAGAGUUGGACUCUUGAGUCUCGUUGUUCGGGGGCCAGGCCUCGUGGUGCUCAGGGGCUGUUGUCUAGCCCCCGUGCUCCCGUGGAUGGCACUGGUGGUGGGGGUGGGAGUUGGGCCUGUCAUCUGCACAGCCUCCGUUCCUAGCCCUGGGGACGCCUCUCUGACCCCGACCUUUGGAGUCCCAAGAGAAACAGUGAAAUUGAAUAAUCAAAAGACCAGCAAAAUAAUCAGAAAUGCAAAAUGGUUUCCACUGAGUUCCACCAUGACCCCCUGGGGUCCAGCAUGACAGCUGACCUCCGGGCCAAAGACCUGACUUCCUGUGCGAGGACCCCGGGCCGCCCUGGGGCAGUGUGAGCGCUUUCCCUCCCCAGAGUCUCCACAUUCUCCUCUGUAGCCACACAGGAGGCUGCAGCCCCCAAGUGAGUUGUUGGGAGCCCAUCGCUGCAUGCCCAGGAGUCGCCACCGCCCAGCCUUGCCCUGCUCUGGCCCAGUUCCCUGAGGCAUUGACUGUCCCCGUCCUCUGUGGCGUCAUUCCUGUCACUCAAGUGUGGGAUUUCCUUCUGGGAUCCUUGUGAUGGGAAGG